rnacentral:lncRNA from 1 species
CAGGUUUUAUUUACUUUCUCUUCUGUUCUUGUCCUCCUCAGGCCACCAGUGAAAAGAAUGUAAGGUCACAUAGCCUGUACCAUUUCAGGAAGGCAUUGUCUAACCUGGAGCAUGAGCCUUUUUGAAAUAAUAAUAUUGUCGACCCCCAGUUGUAUGUGCCCAAGGAGAUGGCAAACUUGAGAAACAAGAAUAAUCCUUUCAGCUGGUUUAAAGCUGAGCCCUCACUCUUGGAAUUAAGAAACUGACAAAGGAUGCAAGUUCUUGGUUUAAGGAGCCAAUGUGUGGUUCCCAGGGACCCUCCCAAAUACACUUCCAGUCUGUUUCUGGAGGACCUGACCUGUAACUCCUGACAAUAUGUUCUGAAUGCUGAAGGAUGGAGAUACACUUUGGAGUAAGAUUCAUAUGAACUUUCAUAAAUUCUUGGGCAAUGGACUCAAGCCCCUCAUUCAAAGAAAACACCAGAAGAGACUUGGUGUUUUGUGAAAUGGCACAUUCCAAAAUCUCUGUCACUGAUAAAAGGAUGUAAGCUCAGGAUCAAAGCAUCGUCUUCAAAGAAGGGAAAGUGGAAAACCAUUGAGCACUCUGUUUAAGAACACCUUCAAUAGGAAACAUUUUUGCUCAAGCUCUGGGCCUUACUUUUUUAAGCCAGAACAUGACUUGGGGCAGUUCUCAGACCCCGGGUUUCUCCACCCUCCAGAGAGGUCUGCAAGGAAAUGGACUCAGGUGUGUUGACUAUCUGCUUAUCCUCGGCGGGACCUCUGGGCUUGCUGCCAAACUCUCUCUACUGCUAUGACCUCUUGGCUCACCCCUCCGCAUGCAGGCCCUUGCUGAAGCUGGGGUUUUGUUUCUUAGUGGCAGCCGCUAGACUCACCUUCUCUAAACUCCUGACACAAGGGAGCCGCCUGGGCUUCAGGUCUCUGGACCACUGCAGAUUUAAGUCAUUCUUGCUUUGAAUCCC